rnacentral:rRNA from 1 species
UAAUACGUAGGGGUCGAGCGUUGUCCGGACUUACUGGGCGUAAAGGGUGGGUAGGUGGUUUGGGAUGUGCCGUGUGAAAGCCCCGCGUUCAUCGCGGGGAGGUCGCGGUAGACACUCGAACUCGAGGCAUGGAGAGGGCGGUGGAAUUCCCGGUGUAGUGGUGAAAUGCGUAGAUAUCGGGAGGAACACCAGUGGCGCAAGCGGCCGCCUGGCCAUGACCUGACACUGAGCCACGACGGCGUGGGGAGCAAACGGGAUUAGAUACCCCGGUAGUCCACGCAGUAAACGAUGCAUACCCGGUGUGUGGCCGUCGUUAAGACGGCUGCGUGCCUGAGCUUACGCGAUGAGUAUGCCGCCUGGGGACUACGAGCGCAAGCUUA